AUGCAAGAGGAAUAUGAUGCUCUCCAGGCUAAUCACACAUGGACUCUUGUGCCUCGUCCUCGGGGUGCCAACAUCGUCACCGGUAAAUGGGUGUUUCGACAUAAACUCAAACCAGAUGGUUCCUUGGAUCGCUAUAAAGCUCGUUGGGUUGUUCGAGGAUUCACACAGUGUGCCGGCAUUGACUUUGGUGAUACUUUCAGUCCGGUCGUUAAACCUGCCACAGUUCGCACAGUUUUGCACCUUGCCGCUUCUCCACAUUGGCUGGUCCAUCAGUUGCAUGUAUCUAAUGCCUUUCUUCAUGGAGUUUUGCAUGAGCGUGUUUAUUGUGCUCAGCCGACGGGUUUCAUCGACGCCAACUAUCCUGAGCAUGUUUGCUUGCUGUCCAAGUCACUCUAUGGGUUGAAACAGGCUCCUCGCGCUUGGUACACGCGCAUC
rnacentral:rRNA from 1 species